rnacentral:rRNA from 1 species
CCUACGGGUGGCAGCAGUGGGGAAUAUUGCUCAAUGGGGGCUACCCUGAAGCAGCGAAGUCGCGUGAAGGAUGAAGGCUCUAUGGGUUGUAAGCUCUUUUUAUAGGGGAGAAAAUUACGGUAUGUAACCAAUUUUCCACGGAUCAAUUCGUUCCAGCAGCCGCGGUAAUACGCAGGUGGCAAGCGUUAUCCGGAUUUACUGGGUGUAAGGGGAGUGUAGGCGGGUUGAUAAGUCAGUUGUGAAAUUCUGCGGCUUAACCGUAAAACUGCAGUUGAAACUGUUAAUCUUGAGUACGGGAGAGGUAGGUGGAAUUCGUGGUGUAGCGGUGAAAUGCGUAGAUAUCAGGAGGAACACCGAUUGCGAAGGCGGCCUGCUGGACUGUAACUGACGCUGAUGCGCGAAAGUGUGGGGAGCAAACAGGAUUAGAUACCCUAGUAGUC